rnacentral:rRNA from 1 species
GGGGGACCUUCGGACCUCUUGCCUAUCUGAUGAGCCUAGGUCGGAUUAGCUAGUUGGUGGGGUAACAGGCUCACCUAGGCGACGAUCCCUAGCUGGUCUGAGAGGAUGAUCAGCCACACUGGAACUGAGACACGGUCCAGACUCCUACGGGAGGCAGCAGUGGGGAAUAUUGCACAAUGGGCGAAAGCCUGAUGCAGCCAUGCCGCGUGUGUGAAGAAGGCCUUCGGAUUGUAAAGCACUUUCAGCUGGGAGGAAGGGCAGUAGGUUAAUACCUUGCUGUUUUGACGUUACCCACAGAAUAAGCACCGGCUAACUUCGUGCCAGCAGCCGCGGUAAUACGAAGGGUGCAAGCGUUAAUCGGAAUUACUGGGCGUAAAGCGCACGCUAGGUGGUUCGUCAAGUUGGAUGUGAAAUCCCCGGGCUCAACCUGGGAACUGCAUCCAAAACUGCUGAGCUAGAGUCUUGUAGAGGGUGGUGGAAUUUCCUGUGUAGCGGUGAAAUGCGUAGAUAUCUGAAGGAAUACCGGUGGCGAAGGCGACCCCCUGGACUGAUACUGACACUCAGGUGCGAAAGCGUGGGGAGCAAAACAGGAUUACAUACCCUGGUAGUCCACACCGUAAACNAUG